CAACCAACAGACCUAGCGGGUAUUGCCCCUAACCCUAAGCCAGUCAAAGAGGACUGGGAGUCAGGCGAAGAAACUGCCCCUAAGAAAACAAAAUAAAAAAGGGGUCAAGGCAGAGGUCGAUCGAGUGAAGCCACCCUAUCUUCAAAGAAGCGCGGAGCCAUUGACAUCCUUAUGGGUGACAAACCCAAAAAGAUACAGAAAUCUAAUCUACCUCUUAUCAAGUCGAAACCUUCAAAGCGUAGCUCACACUCCCGAGCUGGACAACAAAGUCAUUCUGAGCCAGGUGUCGACCCAGCAGGUGUCAAGGCUGAAAUGACUCAACAUCCUCAAAAGGUGAUGACAUCCUUGCCUUUUCUUAGUCCAAUUCAAGCAACACCAUCAAUUGCUGCUUCCCAGGCCUUGAUUGACUCUCCAGUGGUAUUCAUAUUCAAUUUUCUUUUCUUCUUCUUUUCUUCCAGAUUCUUAGAGUCUCAUUUUUUUCCUUAUAGGCGAGUUAAUGCCCCUGCCAACUGAUGCCGAAACCCAACAAGAAUCUGAUCCUGUUUUGACAUCAGCUGCAGCAACUUUGACCAUCCAUCCUACCAAUAAUCCUGCUGAUGUCGAACACAACGAGUCUCCUAUCAAUGUCCCUACUCCUGAAGCUAAAGACCUGAUCUUUGAUGACCUUGAUUUUGACCUUGCCAACAUUCUCUCAGAAGCUCAAUAAGUAUACUCUUCUAAAGGAACAGGGGUUUUCUCUUCUUUAGGUCAAGAACCCGAAAUCGCCCCAUCAGUGCAAAAAA